UAAGGAGGAGGAAGGUGUGGACGACGUCAAGUCAUCAUGGCCCUUAUGCCCAGGGCGACACACGUGCUACAAUGGCAUAUACAAUGAGACGCAAUACCGCGAGGUGGAGCAAAUCUAUAAAAUAUGUCCCAGUUCGGAUUGUUCUCUGCAACUCGAGAGCAUGAAGCCGGAAUCGCUAGUAAUCGUAGAUCAGCCAUGCUACGGUGAAUACGUUCCCGGGUCUUGUACUCACCGCCCGUCACACCAUGGGAGUUGAUUUCACUCGAAGCCGGAAUACUAAACUAGUUACCGUCCACAGUGGAAUCAGCGACUGGGGUGAAGUCGUAACAAGGUAACCGUAGGAGAACCUGCGGUUGGAUCACCUCCUUUCUAG
rnacentral:rRNA from 1 species